CAUUAUUAUUUUAGAUAUUAAUCAUAUUACUGUACUCAUAAAGCAACAUUACCCUCUCCUAAAGUCUCUUUGCUCUCCCUCUCCACAGGCUUCUGUGGAUGGUGGUUCUAUCUGAUGGUGGUUGCCCCUGCAGUGGUCCUGCUGUGCGCCUGGCUUACUACUCACAAUUACUUCAAUCAUUUCUGUCAUAGGAAUUGCAUGUAUUAUACAUUGUUCAUUCUGUACACAUGGCAUCCAUUGUAGUCUGUCCAUCCCGGGAGUGGGAUCCCUCCUCUGACGUUCUCCCUAAGGUUUCUUCCCUUUGUUCCCUCUUGGAAGUUUUUUUUUUGCAUUUUUUUUUUUUUUUCCUGUGCCGAUGGUGGGUUUCGGGACAGAGGAUGUCGUAUGUGUACAGACUGUAAAGCCCUCUGAGGCAAAUUUGUAAUUUGCGAUUUUGGGCUAUACAAAAUAAAAUAAAUUGAAUUGAAUUGAAUCAGAAUUAAAUUGUGAGUCUCGCUUCGAAGUAUUACCCCUAAGCAAUCAGAACUUGUAUCUUAAAAUGUUAUUUAUUUUUACUUCAAUGCACCAGUUUAGCUAGUUAACAUUAGUUACUUUCCAUAACAAUAUUUUUUUUAAUCAAGAUAAUGUAAUAACUUAACCUUCAUGGAUAUUAAUUGAUUGUUCUAUCUGACUUUUUUACAGCAAUUUCUGACUGCAAAAGUGUCCUGUGUCUGGUAUCCCACUGCAAGAGUGUCCUGGUCCACCUCACUGACCUGCCAGCCAUGAAACGGUGAAUGUUUCUGACUGAAAAAGCGAUUCCAAUGUUAAAAAGCGCAUGUGUGAUGGUCUAGCUAAAUUAGACAUUUAUAUGUGCAACCUGCUGCUAGUAAAGGUUGCUCUUUCCGUUGCUAGGUCAGUUGGAAUUUUAGGCCGGUCAAUAAAUAGGGGCAGUACAUGGUUGGUCUCAGCUCAUCACAUUCUUGUUUUAAUAUUUGUUUUGGUUUUGUUUGGCUGAUGGGACGUGGAGGUGCACUCUGCAUUUGCAUUUCUGCACAAGAUCCCGGUAAUCUUCAAGAGAACAAGCCCCAUUUAGAUAUGGAGAGAAGACGAAAUCCCUGAAGUCAAGUGCAUCACCAUCAGUGUUCGUCACACAGAAAGGUGACCGUGUGCAUGGAGUACAGGAGGUGCGCUGGGAAGUGUACUUGAGAAAGACACCCAACCCCUAACUGCUCCCACUGUGUGGGAUGGGUUGUACAUGUAAACCAUACCUUAAAAAUGUAAACCAUCUAAUGCAAUGCAAAUGCGUCAACUUCAAUGACAUGUAAUGUAAAUGCAAGUCGCUUUGGAUAAAAGUGUCAGCUUGAAUGACCUGUGGAUAAACUUGCCUCAACCACAUAAUACAAGGUUUCUUUAUUUGUGUUGUUGUCAUUUUUUGCACUUAAUAUUUAUUCUUUGACUUAACUUAAUAAAAUCAUGGAAAGGAUUUCCAUUUGAUUAAAUGGCUUUCUUUAAGAAGUUAAGUUCGGC
ensembl:lncRNA